GAUGAACGCUGGCGGCGUGCCUAAUACAUGCAAGUCGAGCGAACGGACGAGAAGCUUGCUUCUCUGAUGUUAGCGGCGGACGGGUGAGUAACACGUGGAUAACCUACCUAUAAGACUGGGAUAACUUCGGGAAACCGGAGCUAAUACCGGAUAAUAUUUUGAACCGCAUGGUUCAAAAGUGAAAGACGGUCUUGCUGUCACUUAUAGAUGGAUCCGCGCUGCAUUAGCUAGUUGGUAAGGUAACGGCUUACCAAGGCAACGAUGCAUAGCCGACCUGAGAGGGUGAUCGGCCACACUGGAACUGAGACACGGUCCAGACUCCUAAGGGAGGCAGCAGUCGGGAAUCUUCCGCAAUGGGCGAAAGCCUGACGGAGCAACGCCGCGUGAGUGAUGAAGGUCUUCGGAUCGUAAAACUCUGUUAUUAGGGAAGAACAUAUGUGUAAGUAACUGUGCACAUCUUGACGGUACCUAAUCAGAAAGCCACGGCUAACUACGUG
rnacentral:rRNA from 1 species